UAAGCGGUUCUAUCUGGUUGGACUUCGUUCAGGAUAGCUGAUGCUGAAGAAAACUUAGGUGAAAGUGAAGUUCGAGAAGCUCAUUUGGCAAAAUCCUUGUUUUUCGUUCGAAUUGGUGACAAGCCCAGGAGAAAGCAUUGGAACAACUAAAGGUUACAGAAAGCAAAACAGUUGCAGUUGGCCAAAAGAUGGACUUGGUGUUCUACACUCUGCAGCUUGCUUUUUUCUACAUGGAUUAUGAUCUAAUUUCCAAAAGCAUUGAUAAAGCAAAGAAGUGGUGGAUGCUCCGGAGAUCUUGACAGUGAUUGGAAAAAUUCCUCGAACUCUUUAUAUGAUUGUCAAUAUAAAUCAUUUUUCUUGGCGUUUGGUAAGUGAAGGUCUAAUAUGAGCCUUAAAUCUUUUAUAUAACAAUUGAGUAUGUUAAGAAAUAUAAGUUCUUUUGGUUUG